UGUGAGCUCGAUGAGUAGGGCGGGACACGUGGUAUCCUGUCUGAAUAUGGGGGGACCAUCCUCCAAGGCUAAAUACUCCUGACUGACCGAUAGUGAACCAGUACCGUGAGGGAAAGGCGAAAAGAACCCCGGCGAGGGGAGUGAAAAAGAACCUGAAACCGUGUACGUACAAGCAGUGGGAGCACCCUUCGGGGUGUGACUGCGUACCUUUUGUAUAAUGGGUCAGCGACUUAUAUUCUGUAGCAAGGUUAACCGAAUAGGGGAGCCGGAGGGAAACCGAGUCUUAACCGGGCGUUAAGUUGCAGGGUAUAGACCCGAAACCCGGUGAUCUAGCCAUGGGCAGGUUGAAGGUUGGGUAACACUAACUGGAGGACCGAACCGACUAAUGUUGAAAAAUUAGCGGAUGACCUGUGGCUGGGGGUGAAAGGCCAAUCAAACCGGGAGAUAGCUGGUUCUCCCCGAAAGCUAUUUAGGUAGCGCCUCGUGAAUUCAUCUCCGGGGGUAGAGCACUGUUUCGGCUAGGGGGCCAUCCCGGCUUACCAACCCGAUGCAAACUGCGAAUACCGGAGAAUGUUAUCACGGGAGACACACGGCGGGUGCUAACGUCCGUCGUGAAGAGGGAAACAACCCAGACCGCCAGCUAAGGUCCCAAAGUCAUGGUUAAGUGGGAAACGAUGUGGGAAGGCCCAGACAGCCAGGAUGUUGGCUUAGAAGCAGCCAUCAUUUAAAGAAAGCGUAAUAGCUCACUGGUCGAGUCGGCCUGCGCGGAAGAUGUAACGGGGCUAAACCAUGCACCGAAGCUGCGGCAGCGACACUGUGUGUUGUUGGGUAGGGGAGCGUUCUGUAAGCCUGUGAAGGUGUGUCGUGAGGCAUGCUGGAGGUAUCAGAAGUGCGAAUGCUGACAUAAGUAACGAUAAAGCGGGUGAAAAGCCCGCUCGCCGGAAGACCAAGGGUUCCUGUCCAACGUUAAUCGGGGCAGGGUGAGUCGACCCCUAAGGGCAGGGACGAAAGGCGUAGUCGA
rnacentral:rRNA from 1 species